rnacentral:rRNA from 1 species
ACGGGUGAGUAACGCGUGGGAACGUACCUUUUGGUUCGGAACAACUGAGGGAAACUUCAGCUAAUACCGGAUAAGCCCUUACGGGGAAAGAUUUAUCGCCGAAAGAUCGGCCCGCGUCUGAUUAGCUAGUUGGUGAGGUAAGAGCUCACCAAGGCGACGAUCAGUAGCUGGUCUGAGAGGAUGAUCAGCCACACUGGGACUGAGACACGGCCCAGACUCCUACGGGAGGCAGCAGUGGGGAAUAUUGGACAAUGGGCGCAAGCCUGAUCCAGCCAUGCCGCGUGAGUGAUGAAGGCCCUAGGGUUGUAAAGCUCUUUUGUGCGGGAAGAUAAUGACGGUACCGCAAGAAUAAGCCCCGGCUAACUUCGUGCCAGCAGCCGCGGUAAUACGAAGGGGGCUAGCGUUGCUCGGAAUCACUGGGCGUAAAGGGUGCGUAGGCGGGUCUUUAAGUCAGGGGUGAAAUCCUGGAGCUCAACUCCAGAACUGCCUUUGAUACUGAGGAUCUUGAGUUCGGGAGAGGUGAGUGGAACUGCGAGC